UACGUAGGGCGCAAGCGUUGUCCGGAAUUAUUGGGCGUAAAGAGCUCGUAGGCGGCUUGUCACGUCGGGUGUGAAAGCCCGGGGCUUAACCCCGGGUCUGCAUUCGAUACGGGCUAGCUAGAGUGUGGUAGGGGAGAUCGGAAUUCCUGGUGUAGCGGUGGAAUGCGCAGAUAUCAGGAGGAACACCGGUGGCGAAGGCGGUUCUCUGGGCCUUACCUGACGCUGAGGAGCGAAAGCGUGGGGAGCGAACAGG
rnacentral:rRNA from 1 species